rnacentral:tRNA from 1 species
GGAGCGGUGACCGAGCGGCCGAAGGUGGCGGUCUUGAAAACCGCUGUAGGCGAUCCCUACCGUGGGUUCGAAUCCCACCCGCUCCGCCA